rnacentral:tRNA from 1 species
AGGAGUAUAGCUCAGUGGUAGAGUAUGUGCUUAGCAUGCACAAGGUCCUGGGUUCAAUCCCCAGUACCUA